rnacentral:rRNA from 1 species
UACGUAGGGUGCGAGCGUUGAUCGGAAUUACUGGGCGUAAAGCGCACGUAGGCGGAUACUUAAGUCAGGGGUGAAAUCCCGGGGCUCAACCCCGGAACUGCCUUUGAUACUGGGUAUCUCGAGUCCGGAAGAGGUGAGUGGAAUUCCGAGUGUAGAGGUGAAAUUCGUAGAUAUUCGGAGGAACACCAGUGGCGAAGGCGGCUCACUGGUCCGGUACUGACGCUGAGGUGCGAAAGCGUGGGGAGCAAACGGG